rnacentral:lncRNA from 1 species
CAGAGGAACCACAACGGCCAUGCGGAAGCCACCCAAGAGCGAUCCAAUGUCUCAUCUCUGCCCUCAAUCAUGGCCUCCGCUGAUGCCAAAGUAAACCCAUUCAGCUUCAGGAGGCUUUUCAGCAAACAAAGCAUAAUUUGUAUGACGGAUCUGUGUGUUACAGUAGAGGAUCACAGGCAUUUGAAAUGACACAACUGGAAGCUAAAUCCAACAGCAGGGGAGACCCUUACCAAGGCAAGCCCCUGUCGUCUAAACUACUCAGACUUCAUCUGUCAGCUCAAGCAUCACAUCCAAGUAUGAAGCUUUGCACAAGCUCUCGGGAACUAUUUCCUCCUUCAACUGUUACCAUAGCACCUUGGACAGAGCAGUUUACCCAUCAGCCUCUACCACUGGACUGGAAGUCCCCCAAAGGCAGAAACCACCUCUCUACAUCCAUAUGAUGUGGGGGAGAAAAUAAAACUGAGCCACUGAGAGCACAUCAAUACCUGCCUGCAAAGCUGCAGUGAUCCCGUGAAGCAAGAGUUUCAUAAAUAGUUUAAAUAAAAUCCAAU